GGGGGAAUUUUGGACAAUGGGCGCAAGCCUGAUCCAGCCAUGCCGCGUGAGUGAAGAAGGCCUUCGGGUUGUAAAGCUCUUUCGGCGGGGAAGAAAUUGCACUCUCUAAUACAGGGUGUAGAUGACGGUACCCGCAUAAGAAGCACCGGCUAACUACGUGCCAGCAGCCGCGGUAAUACGUAGGGUGCGAGCGUUAAUCGGAAUUACUGGGCGUAAAGCGUGCGCAGGUGGUUGUGUAAGUCAGAUGUGAAAUCCCCGGGCUCAACCUGGGAACUGCAUUUGAGACUGCACGGCUAGAGGAUGGCAGAGGGGGUAGAAUUCCACGUGUAGCAGUGAAAUGCGUAGAGAUGUGGAGGAAUACCGAUGGCGAAGGCAGCCCCCUGGGCUAUUUCUGACACU
rnacentral:rRNA from 1 species